AUUGAACGCUAGCGGCAGGCCUAACACAUGCAAGUCGAGCGAGCGGCGGACGGGUGAGUAAUGUAUGGGGACUGCCCGGUAGAGGGGGAUAACUACUGGAAACGGUGGCUAAUACCGCAUACUAUCGGAUAACCCAUAUGGGAUUAGCUAGUAGGUGGGGUAAAGGCUCACCUAGGCGACUAUCUCUAGCUGGUCUGAGAGGAUGAUCAGCCACACUGUGACGGAGACACGGCCCAGACUCAUACGGAGGCAGCAGUGGGGAAUAUUGCACAAUGGGCGGAAGCCUGAUGCAGCCAUGCCGCGUGUAUGAAGAAGGCCGUAGGGUUGUAAAGUACUUUUAGCGGGGAGGCGGUAUCCGCAGAAGAAGCACCGGCUAACUCCGUGCCAGCAGCCGCGGUAAUUC
rnacentral:rRNA from 1 species